UGAAGAGUGGUGCCAAAAACUGGAGGCAUUUAUUGGUCUGACCCAACGGACCACGUCGAAAAUGAAACUCGAUUUGGAAGUUUGUAUGAUUUGUAACAAAAUUUGCCUCAUCCUCACCACUCUAUUUUUAUUCAUUUAGUUGUUCUUAUCCAACUAUAUAUGUCUUUUACACAAAACGAUCCAAAAAAAAUAAACAUGAGACACCUAGUCGAGUAGUCCCACUUCCACCAUCUUCUAUCAAAUGUCUCAACGUAGAAUUCUUUUAAUUUUCAUACUUCUCUCUUUAAGACUGU